UACGUAGGGUGCAAGCGUUGUCCGGAAUUAUUGGGCGUAAAGAGCUUGUAGGCGGUUUGUCGCGUCUGCUGUGAAAUUUCGGGGCUCAACCCCGAACUUGCAGUGGGUACGGGCAGACUAGAGUGUGGUAGGGGGAGGCUGGAAUUCCUGGUGUAGCGGUGAAAUGCGCAGAUAUCAGGAGGAACACCGAUGGCGAAGGCAGGUCUCUGGGCCAUAACUGACGCUGAGAAGCGAAAGCAUGGGGAGCGAACAGG
rnacentral:rRNA from 1 species